UACAGAGGUGGCAAGCGUUGUUCGGAAUUACUGGGCGUAAAGGGCGCGUAGGCGGCCUUCUAAGUCAGACGUGAAAUCCCCCGGCUUAACCUGGGAACUGCGUCUGAUACUGGAUGGCUUGAGUAUGGGAGAGGGAUGUAGAAUUCCAGGUGUAGCGGUGAAAUGCGUAGAUAUCUGGAGGAAUACCGGUGGCGAAGGCGGCAUCCUGGACCAUUACUGACGCUGAGGCGCGAAAGCUAGGGGAGCAAACGGG
rnacentral:rRNA from 1 species